rnacentral:snRNA from 1 species
GUAUGUGAGGGCCAUCUGGCUGCGACAUCUGUCACCCCAUUGAUCGCCAGGGUUGAUUCGGCUGAUCUGGCUGGCUAGGCAGGUGUCCCCUUCCUCCCUCACUGCUCCAUGUGCAUCCCUCCCGAAGCUGUGCACUCGGUCAAGGAGGACAGACGACCUUCCCCGAAUAGAGACUGACCAGUCUUAGGUUGAGGGUAUACGAGUAGCUGCGCUCUCCUUCUAGAACCUCCAAACAAGCUCUCUUUUCAAUUCUUUAUAUUUUGCAUAUGAGCAAAAGCAUCCUGUAGCUCUCUUUCAGGGAAAUGUAUGUCAUUU